rnacentral:rRNA from 1 species
GAACGCUAGCUACAGGCUUAACAYAUGCAAGUCGAGGGGCAGNAUGGUCUUAGCUUGCUAAGACUGAUGGCGACCGGCGCACGGGUGAGUAACGCGUUAUCCAACCUUCCCCAUAGUAGGGAAUAGCCCGGCGAAAGUCGGAUUAAUGCCCUAUGUUCUUCAAUGCAGACAUCUAGGUUGAAGCAAAGAUUCAACGCUAUGGGAGGGGAUGCGUCUGAUUAGGUUGCAGGCGGGGUAACGGCCCACCUGGCCGACGAUCAGUAGGGGUUCUGAGAGGAAGGUCCCCCACAUUGGUACUGAGACACGGACCAAACUCUACGGGAGGCAGCAGUGAGGAAUAUUGGUCAAUGGGCGCGAGCCUGAACCAGCCAAGUAGCGUGCAGGAAGACUGCCCUAUGGGUUGUAAACUGCUUUUAUGCGGGAAUAAAGUCAGGUACGUGUACCUGUUUGUAUGUACCGCAUGAAUAAGGACCGGCUAAUUCCGUGCCAGCAGCCGCGGUAAUACGGAAGGUCCGGGCGUUAUCCGGAUUUAUUGGGUUUAAAGGGAGCGCAGGCUGGAUUUUAAGCGUGCUGUGAAAUGUACCGGCUCAACCGGUGACGUGCAGCGCGAACUGGAGUCCUUGAGUGAGUACGACGUCAGCGGAAUUCGUGGUGUAGCGGUGAAAUGCUUAGAUAUCACGAAGAACCCCGAUUGCGAAGGCAGCUGACGAGUCCUUAACUGACGCUAAAGCUCGAAAGUGCGGGUAUCGAACAGGAUUAGAUACCCUGGUAGUCCGCACGGUAAACGAUGGAUGCCCGCUGUUUGCGAUAUACGGUAAGCGGCCAAGCGAAAGCGUUAAGCAUCCCACCUGGGGAGUACGCCGGCAACGAAGUAAACUAAAAGGAAUUGACGGGGGCCCGCACAAGAGGAGGAACAUGUGGUUUAAUUCGAUGAUACGCGAGGAACCUUACCCGGGCUUGAACUGCAGCAGACGGAUCCAGAGAUGGUGACCUUCGGGGCUGCUGUGGAGGUGCUGCAUGGUUGUCGUCAGCUCGUGC